rnacentral:rRNA from 1 species
ACGGGGCGCAGCAGGCGCGAAACCUUUGCAAUACACGAAAGUGUGACAGGGUCAUCCCGAGUGCCGACCGCUGAGGUUGGCUUUUACCCAGUCUAGAAAGCUGGUGGAAUAAGGAGAGGGCAAGUCUGGUGUCAGCCGCCGCGGUAAUACCAGCUCUCCGAGUGGUGUGGACGUUUAUUGGGCCUAAAGCAUCCGUAGCUGGCUGAACAAGUCCCCUGUUAAACCCACCGAUUUAAUCGUUGGUCUGCGGGGGAUACUGCUCGGCUAGGGGACGAGAGAGGCAGACGGUAUUUCCGGGGUAGGGGUGAAAUCCUAUAAUCCCGGGAAGACCACCAGUGGCGAAGGCUGUCUGCUAGAACGCGCCCGACGGUGAGGGAUGAAAGCUGGGGGAGCGAACCGGAUUAGAUACCCGGGUAGUCCCAGCUGUAAACGAUGCAGGCUAGGUGUUUGGACGGCCACGUGCCGUUCUAGUGCCGCAGGGAAGCUGUUAAGCCUGCCGCCUGGGGAGUACGAUCGCAAGAUUGAAACUUAAAGGAAUUGGCGGGGGAGCAC